rnacentral:tRNA from 1 species
GGGCCAUUAGCUCAUCUGGUAGAGCAUUUGACUCUUAAUCAAAGGGUGGCAGGUUCGAGUCCUGCAUGGCCCA